CCUACGGGUGGCAGCAGUGGGGAAUAUUGGGCAAUGGGCGCAAGCCUGACCCAGCAACGCCGCGUGAAGGAAGAAGGCUUUCGGGUUGUAAACUUCUUUUCUCAGGGACGAAGAAAGUGACGGUACCUGAGGAAUAAGCCACGGCUAACUACGUGCCAGAAGCCGCGGUAAUACGUAGGUGGCAAGCGUUAUCCGGAUUUAUUGGGUGUAAAGGGCGUGUAGGCGGGAGGGCAAGUCAGAGGUGAAAACUAAGGGCUCAACCCUGAGCCUGCAUUUGAAACUGUGUUUCUUGAGUGCUUGAGAGGCAAUCGGAAUGCCGUGUGUAGCGGUGAAAUGCGUAGAUAUCAGGAGGAACACCGGUGGCGAAGGCGGCCUGCUGGACUGCAACUGACGUUGAGGCCCGAAAGCGUGGGGAGCAAACAGGAUUAGAUACCCUUGUAGUC
rnacentral:rRNA from 1 species